rnacentral:rRNA from 1 species
GACGAACGCUGGCGGCGUGCCUAAUACAUGCAAGUCGAACGCAGUGGGGACGGGUGAGGAACACGUGGGUAACCUCCCAUCAGAGGGGAUAACAUUUGGAAACAGGUGCUAAACCGAUACAGAUGGAUGGACCCGCGGUGCAUUAGUUAGUUGGAGAGGUAACUGCCCACCAAGGCCACGAUGCAUACCCAACCUGAGUGGGUAAUCGUCCACACUGGUACUGAGGCGCGGCCCAGCCUCCUACGGGCGGCAGCAUUAGGGAAUUUUCGGCUAUGAACGAAAGUCUGGCCUAGCAACGCCGCGUAAGUGAAGAAGGUUUUCGGUUCGUAAGUCUCUGUUGUUAGAGAAGCGGUAUCUAACCAGAAAGCCACGGCUAACUACGUGCCAGCAGCCGCGGUAAUUC